rnacentral:rRNA from 1 species
UGGUACUCAUGAAAAGAAUUUUAGUUCCGCCUUAUAAGCAACACGACCCCACCAAGUCAAAAUUACCUCAUAAGAGUAAUUCUAUAGGGGAACAGCCCUAUCGAAAAAGGACACAACCUUCAUUACAGGGUAAUGAUUAUAUUAUCUAAGGCUAUAGGAUAAGUGGGCUUAAAAGCAGCCACCUUAAAAGAAAGCGUUACAGCUCCACCUAAUUAACCUAACAAUACCAAUACAACCUCAAAACCCGAACUAAUACUGAGUUAUUCUAUACACUUAUAGAACUAAUUAUGUUAAAACUAGUAACACAGAAACCAACUUUCUCUUGUAUGUAAACGUAAAUCAGAUUGAAUAACUCACUGAUAAUUAACAGCUUUUAUGAAAUAAAUGUAGUAACCAAUCAAGAAAAUUCUACUUUAACUACUGUUAACCUAACACAAGAACAUAUCAAGAAAGAUUUAAAGAUACAGAAGGAACUCGGCAAAUAUUUAAGCCCCGCCUGUUUAUCAU